rnacentral:rRNA from 1 species
CCCAGAGUGACUAGCUACUGAAUCUUUGAUGUGUCAUUAAAGAUAACGUAAAGAAUAAUAAUGAUAUUACUUUACUAUUAGUGUCGUCCAAAUACUCGUGCCAGAAGACUCGGUAAGGCGAGAGACGCAAACGUUAUUCGUCAUGAUCAGGCGUAAAGGGUGUGUAGGCUGUUUUAAGUAUUUAUACCAAGUUUACUAUUAUAAAUUUAAACAAAUUAGUUUUGCUUUGGUUUUACUGAAUAUCUUUAAAAUUAAAGCAUUUACAGCUGUUUUAAAUAUAAUAUUGGUAUAAGUCAAUUAAAUCUAGAAUCUAACAGGGGUUAAAACAAUACUUAAGGUAGGAGUACUAACCGUAAAUAUUAAGUAGAGUGCUAAAGGCGAAGGCAUUUAUCCACUAAAGAUUGACGCUGAGAAACGAAAGUGAGGGCAGAAAAAAGGAUUAGAGACCCUUGUAUUCCUCACUGUCAACGAUGAAUGGUAGUUACUAGUUAGAAAUUAGCUAGAUACAAUGUUAACACGAAAACCAUUCCGCCUUGUGAGUACAACUGCAAAGUUGAAAACAAAAAAAUUAGUCGGUUUCGGAGCAAACGAAGUGAAGCAUGUUAUUUAC